rnacentral:rRNA from 1 species
AUGGCUUCUUCCGGUUCCAUGACGAGGCCCCCGUGUGCUAAUCGCGAGGACAUGUUGGACAAGUGGACAGAAGCCAAGUUGGAUAAGGUGAAGGACAAAGAUAUGAGAACUCCAUCAUGUUGGUGUGGAGAUGUUUACAAAGUUAAGGUAUCCACCAACCGCAAGAAAUCAUGGACAGAAGGAAGAAGAUAUUUUGUUUGUCCCAACUAUGCCUGUGAUCGUCCUCGUCCAACUCACGCCUAUGAUGUACCGCCGGUAAGUUGUUGA